GACGAACGCUGGCGGCGUGCUUAACACAUGCAAGUGGAGCGACGAACCAGGGCUUGCCCUGGGGCAGAGCCGCGAACGGGUGAGUAACACGUGGGUAACCUGCCCAGAUGACCGGGACAACCCGAGGAAACUCGGGCUAAUACCGGAUGUGCUGCUCUCACAUCAGUGAGAUCAGGAAAGGUAGCUUCGGCUUCCGCGUCUGGAUGGGCCCCGCGGCGCAUUAGCUUGNGGUGGGGGUAACGGCCUACCAAGGCGACGAUGCGUAGCUGGUCUGAGAGGACGAUCAGCCACACUGGGACUGAGACACGGCCCAGACUCCUACGGGAGGCAGCAGUGGGGAAUCUUGCACAAUGCGCGAAAGCGUGAUGCAGCAACGCCGCGUGAGGGAAGACGGCC
rnacentral:rRNA from 1 species